GUCCACGCUGUAAACGAUGAUUACUAGGUGUGGGGGACUGACCCCUUCCGUGCCGGAGUUAACACAAUAAGUAAUCCACCUGGGGAGUACGGCCGCAAGGUUGAAACUCAAAGGAAUUGACGGGGCCCGCACAAGCAGUGGAGUAUGUGGUUUAAUUCGAAGCAACGCGAAGAACCUUACCAGGUCUUGACAUCCAACUAACGAAGUAGAGAUACAUCAGGUGCCCUUCGGGGAAAGUUGAGACAGGUGGUGCAUGGUUGUCGU
rnacentral:rRNA from 1 species